rnacentral:tRNA from 1 species
UUUCUCUUAGCUUAGGUUGUUAAAGCGUUAGUUUGAAGCACUAAAGAUAACUUUGUGUUAGAGAGGC